GAUUCGCUUACGACCUGAUCCAUUUAUGAUCUGAUCUGAUCCAUUUGCCACCCCUAGCAUCAGUAUUAAAUUUUAAUAUUUUAUCUUCUUAAAAAAAAAAUUCUCAAAGUUUUACGUGUAAGGGAUGCUUGCGGAUGACUGGAUCUGAAUCAAUGGAUUUUUUUGCCGACUUUUGUUCAAAUUUUAUGUAACUCUUUUUAC
rnacentral:lncRNA from 1 species